rnacentral:rRNA from 1 species
CGCUGGCGGCAUGCCUAACACAUGCAAGUCGAACGAAGGCUUCGGCCUUAGUGGCGCACGGGUGCGUAACGCGUGGGAAUCUGCCCUUGGGUUCGGAAUAACUCAGAGAAAUUUGAGCUAAUACCGGAUGAUGACGUAAGUCCAAAGAUUUAUCGCCCAAGGAUGAGCCCGCGUAAGAUUAGCUAGUUGGUGGGGUAAAGGCCUACCAAGGCGACGAUCUUUAGCUGGUCUGAGAGGAUGAUCAGCCGCACUGGGACUGAGACACGGCCCAGACUCCUACGGGAGGCAGCAGUGGGGAAUAUUGGACAAUGGGCGAAAGCCUGAUCCAGCAAUGCCGCGUGAGUGAUGAAGGCCUUAGGGUUGUAAAGCUCUUUUACCAGGGAUGAUAAUGACAGUACCUGGAGAAUAAGCUCCGGCUAACUCCGUG